rnacentral:lncRNA from 1 species
GCCGAUGUCGAACAACCUCCGUUUCUCGCUUGCGAGCACCAUGCACCUUGGUUGUUCAUGAGGCCCUUGUCCUCUAGUGCAUGGAUGAAAUCCAAAGCAUCCAUGUUGCACAUGGAUAGGAGAAAUCAAAUAUUUUUAUACUCAAAAUAUAAAGUUGCAUACACAUUUACUACAUCAAGUUUUGCUAGGUUACCAAGCUUUGUUUUAACUUGUCAAAUUAAACAUCAGAGAGGUCCAUUUCCAACUAAAGUAUACAUAUUAUUAUCAGUUAAAAGAGUUCUUCUAUGCAUUUUAACUUACCACCAGCAGCAACAACCGUAUGAAAAACUGAAUAAAUAUUGAUUAUUUGCAUAUUGAUUUGAUCUUUUUAUAGAGCAUGAUAUCAUACUAGUAGAACAUGCAUUUGUUUGUUCAGAAAGCAGGUGUAGAAAAAACAGAAACAUAAAUCCUUAGAACGAAUAACUGAUAAAAUCACUCACACUAGCAUACUCGUCCACACAAACUCAACAAAAGCACAAAACAUUUGUUCUGCAAAUACUUGAUUUAUAUAUGGGCAGUACUAUGCGUCGUACUACGCGUCGGCGCCGACGCGAACGCUCACGCCGGUCGCAGCGCGACCGUCAGAUCUGCGAGGUGGACUGUUAGAUCUAUACAUGCAACAUUUUUUCCUUGAUGCAGCAAAUUUCGGCGCAAUGCAGCAAAUUUCAUCAACGGUUGCAACAAAAAAAAUCUACGUGAUCAUAGCAAAAAAACGAAGCUGAUGAUGCCUGGUAGCAAAAGUCAAAUGCCGGUUAUAGCAAAUAUCUACGUGAACGUGUAUGCAAUUUUUUUAGUGAACGGUCGUAGCAAAAAAUGAUGCGAGCUGUAGCAAAAAUUAACAGGUUGUAAUAAAAGUCAAAUGACGGUUAUAGCAAAAAUCCAACGAACUCAAGUUGUAACCAACUUUAGAUGCAACUUUUUAAAAUGAACAAAAUAUAACAAAAUGACAAACGUUUGAAGCAAAACUAAACAUGGUUGCAGCAAAUCUAUACCUAAUAAUAAAGCGGCUAUUGCUUCCGUCGGAAAACCCAUUACAACAUUUUUAUAAAAAAGCCCCUGUAAUUUUUGUUAUUCAACCCGCGCUUCAUCAUUUAUCUGCAACGCAAAAGAAAAAAACGAGUCGCUGCAAAAAUUAUACCCGUACGCAUCGCCUCCUCCCGUCGACCCUGGGCCACCCUGGCCUGUGCCCAGGCAGCCGCAACACCACUCGCCGCCGCGGCCGGCAUCAACCGUCACCACUGCCGAUCUCAACCCACCCGCCUCCGCGGAUGUACCUCUCCCCGCUCACUGCCCCCGUUGCGGCGCUCGAGCGCAUCGCUCGACCUGGUCCACUCUGGCCUGUGCCCAGGCCGCUGCCACACCACUCGCCGCCACGGCCGACCUCAACCACCACUGCUGUCGAUCUCAACCCACGCCUCUGCGGUCGUACCUCUGCCCGCUUGCUGCCCCCGUUUCGGCGCUCGAGCACAGCUUCUGGAUCAAAUCAACGCGACAGCUACAGCGAUUUGGGAUGAUGCGUCUGCUCGAUGGCUCCAUGGCUCACACGGGAAACUCCGAGGUUAUGGCGCGGCAACGGCGACUCCUUAUGGCCAGAUAGAGGCGCCUAACCCUUGCUCCCCUCAUCGUAUCCCCUCCUCCGGCAGGAACUCAUCAUCUGGUGAGAUCCCCUCCCCAUGCCUCCAACUGUGUGCCAAGCACCUGCAAGAAAUUUUGUUUUGUGGGAGUUUGUUUGCUGAUGGAUGAAUGUAUUGAAUGUAAGAUUGCAUUGUUGUAGAGAGAGGGAAUGGAACACCACCUUCAGUUUGUCAUCUGAUCCCACAUUCUCUACCCCAUGAGUGAAAUAAGAUAACAGUCCAUUGAUCAAUUCACGUAGCCUCUUUGUUUUGCUUUGCUUGUCCCGCUCAAUUUCUUAUUAUGGUGGAAUUAACAAUGGACAGGUUGAUUUCUCAAUAAAAUAGGAUAGGACUGACUACAUUAGUUAGUUAGCUUAUUAUUUUAAUAAAUUAAAAUGAUUAUAAAAAUAUUUAAAACGUGUGAUAUUUUUUUUCCGUUGCAACGCACGGGCCCUUUUGCUAGUUGGAUAAAAAAUAUUGCAUGGUUGUCAGCGAGACACGGCACGCGUGAUCGGCCGAAUCGUUCGGCUGACGCGCCGGAUGAAAGCAUUUACCUUUAUAUAUUCUGCAACAUAUCAGAUCCUUGAGAGGAUUACACAUCCGUGAAGAGAAGAGUAAAUUUGGUACUAGUCUGGUCCUCAUCAUCCCAACACUCUACAGCGAAACCACACGGAGUAGUUCAGUUCACCCACAACUUAUUAUAUCAUACUGCAGCUGGCCGUGAGGCACGAGGAAGGCAGGCUUGAGCUCAAUCUACUCGUACCAGGUAUAGAAGAAAGCGGUCGACGGGCAUCUAUAAUCCUUCACCCAAGCAUCCACCGGGUCGGCGGCAGAUGUCACUCACGCCUCGCCCUCGGGCGUGGCGGGGGGGAAGUCGGACAGCUCGCUGACGGCUGUAGCGGCCCGAUGUUGGGGAUGAGGUAGAGGUGCUCCGAUCUAGGUGCAGAUAGGAGACGAGAAGGGGGUCAGAGGGUGAGCAUGGGAGCAGAGAGAGACGGGAGGUACAAGGAUGUGCAACAUGAGCUUGUUUUGGGACGGAACUCACCAGAUCGAAUUGGGAUAAACUGCAAAAUCCUAGGCAUGGCGGAACACAUGCACCCCGUCACCGCCGCCACCACCGUGGCUGGAGGCCCCGGGCGGCCAACAGUUCUCUCCCGCGCCCUCGUCGUUGCUUUCGUCCGUCCGUCCACCCGUGUGGGCCUACGCUGCGGCCAUCACGACACACAGCUACGCCACAUCUCGUGGAUUGGUGAGGCCCCCGGUGCGCAUGCGCAUGCGCN